AAAUGAAAAUUGGUCACAAAUCUUUCCAAAUGGGGCCAUGUAUUACACCCAUGUGCAAGUCCCUCAAUUUUGAUCCAAAUGAGAUAAUCUUGGACUUUUUGGAAAGAUGAGAUCAAGGGGAACAACUUUUAUAUUGAACACAUUUCCAUUUGGAGCUUGGACCAUGAUGAAUUUUGAGUUGGAAGUUUGGAAAAUCAAACAUAUUUGAAAAUUUUCUAAGUACCAAGCCAAAUG
rnacentral:lncRNA from 1 species